GACGAACGCUGGCGGCGUGCUUAACACAUGCAAGUCGAACGAUGAAGCCGGAGCUUGCUCCGGUGGAUUAGUGGCGAACGGGUGAGUAACACGUGAGCAAUCUGCCCUUGACUCUGGGAUAACUGCGGGAAACUGUAGCUAAUACCGGAUACGACACCUUGGGGCAUCCCAGGGUGUGGAAAGAAUUUCGGUCAAGGAUGAGCUCGCGGCCCAUCAGCUAGUUGGUGAGGUAAUGGCUAACCAAGGCGACGACGGGUAGCCGGCCUGAGAGGGUGACGGUCCACGCGAGAACUGAGACACGUUCCAGACUCAUACGGGAGGCAGCAGUGGGGAAUAUUGCACAAUGGGCGAAAGCCUGAUGCAGCAACGCCGCGUGAGGGAUGAAGGCCUUCGGGUUGUAAACCUCUUUUAGCAGGGAAGAAGCGAAAGUGACGGUACCUGCAGAAAAAGCACCGGCUAACUACGUGCCAGCAGCCGCCGUAA
rnacentral:rRNA from 1 species